rnacentral:rRNA from 1 species
CAGCCGCCGCGGUAAUACGUAGGGUGCGAGCGUUAAUCGGAUUUACUGGGCGUAAAGCGUGCGCAGGCGGCCCGUUAAGACAGGUGUGAAAUCCCUGGGCUCAACCUAGGAAUUGCGCUUGUGACUGGCGGGCUCGAGUACGGUAGAGGGGGGUGGAAUUCCUGGUGUAGCAGUGAAAUGCGUAGAGAUCAGGAGGAACACCGAUGGCGAAGGCAGCCCCCUGGGCCUGUACUGACGCUCAUGCACGAAAGCGUGGGGAGCAAACAGGAUUAGAUACCCGGGUAGUCCACGCCCUAAACGAUGGGUACUAGCCGUUUGGUGCGCGAAAGCGCUGAGUGGCGAAGCUAACGCGUGAAGUACCCCGCCUGGGGAGUACGGCCGCAAGGUUGAAACUUAAAGGAAUUGGCGGG